rnacentral:rRNA from 1 species
UACGGAGGGGGCUAGCGUUGUUCGGAAUUACUGGGCGUAAAGCGCACGUAGGCGGACCAGCAAGUUAGGGGUGAAAUCCCGGGGCUCAACCCCGGAACUGCCUUUAAAACUGUUGGUCUGGAGGUCGAGAGAGGUGAGUGGAAUUCCGAGUGUAGAGGUGAAAUUCGUAGAUAUUCGGAGGAACACCAGUGGCGAAGGCGGCUCACUGGCUCGAUACUAACGCUGAGGUGCGAAAGCGUGGGGAGCAAACAGG